GGCCCAGUGGUGUAAUGGUAAACAUGUCCACUCAAUGUCGCAGAUUUCGACAUUGGGUUUGUGGGAGAUCCCUGUUAGACUCGGGGCCGGGUCA